GUAUGUGUGCAUAGGUAGGUAUGUAUAUACAUGUAUUUACGUAUUUGAUCUAUUGAGGCCAUGCUACCUUCCUGAUCCUUUUUGGUAGCUGGUGUUUCGGGGAUGAUUGCCUGGCCACAUGUAGACAUGUGUGGUGGUGGAAAGAGGGGCGCCUGUCCCUGGAAAAGAAAGCUAUUGCAGGUCAGGGCUCAGAGACAUAAGGAGAGGUAUGCGAGGAAGCUUGGCUGGUGACUGCCUGUUCCAUAGCUAGCUUUUUCCAACGCCCUGGGUCCAUUUAUUUUGUCAGUACUUAAAACCUCUUUGGAAUAUUUAUAAUUUUUUAUUGGGUGUUUCCAAGAGACGCACAUAAUAUAAGUGGUCCAACAGUAAAUCUGUUAUGAUGUGUUUAUAAAUGCAAGCUUUAGUGUCUCUGGAAAGUUUAGCAUUGACCAAUGCAAAUUUAGUAUUGAAUGAUGCAAAUUUACGCAGGGAUAGAAAUGUGAACCAGAAGAACUAGGUCAUUAAGGGAGAGUUUCUGGUUUUAGCUGAAAUAGAAGAAUAUUGACUGACAUCCUUAAAAAUGGAUGACACUUUUUUCAUUGACUUAUCAACACUCUGGUUUAUCUUUCGUUUAAGCUCUGCCUCGGUGAGGCACUGGGAAGUGUUCCUGUUGCAGCAGCAGAGCUAUAUACAGCUAUCCAAAUUAAUUAGUACUGUUAAUCAACAAGAUGUGUUCACCCAGGCUGAACAGUACAUUGGUGGGAUUUUUGACUUAGCUGUUUAGCUUCCUUGGUACAGUUCUAUGUCAUGUAGACAUGCUUGGAUUGACCUACAUGAUAUACCUUGUAACUGGUACUGGUUUUCCCCAGAGUGUUGAAUGACCAUCAGUGAUUCCCAGGUAGAACUCAUUACCCUGGCCCUGAAGUAGGGCAAGAUGUGGAGCAGCUCUCUAUCAACAACUGCCUCUGGUUAACUCUGAUAGCCUAACAGAGCUUGUCAUCACUUACACUCCAGUCACUCAGAAGAUACAAAUCCUGCGGAAGAGAGGCAGUAACUACUAUUUUACAUAAAAUAGAAUCAAAGUCCUGCUUUUGAGGAAUGAGCAGAAAUAAAAUCCUGUGAAGCACUAUAGCAACCAUCACCAGGGAUACCAUCACAGAUCUCAAACAUGUUUAUCCAGACGAAUAACAAGUCACG